ensembl:lncRNA
GCCAGACUGCUAUGGCCAAGAGGAGCUACCCUGAGUCCAAGGUCAGGGGCGGCAGCCAGGAGGAGCGCCCCCACGCCCCAGGCCAGGGGCGGCGGCCCGGAGGACCAACCCCACAUUCAAGGAGCUGUGGCUGCGCGGGCGCAGGAGGGCCUAGAGGAGCUAUCCCACGUUGAAGGUCAGGAGGGGCGGCGGUGAGGAGAUACCCCUCGUCCAAGAUGUGCCAGGAGCCAGCGUGAGGAACUCUGCCUGUGGCAAAGGUCAUGAGGAAGGAGAUUCGGCAUAUGCAAAGGCGGGAUCGAGCCUCAGGAGUCCCCCUGGAAAUUCUCGAGCAUCUACCCCCAAAACCAGAGUCUGCCUACUUUCUGCCUUGUGCUCUCACCUACACCUCUGACUUUACGGGGGGCUGUCCCCCACCACCAUCUCUCUGUCUGAAAAAGAGUUAACUUACAGCUCCAGUUAAUAAAGUUCCUGGGCGUGACAAGAGUGUUUUAUUUCACAACCAUGAGAGGCAUGAGAUGUUCUAAACUGUCUAAAUACAGAUUCCUUUGAGCAGUUAAAAGAUUGGUUAGAAAUUGUAUUGGUGAAGGGUUUUUCACUUGUUGGGCCAAUGUUUGCUGCUAAGUUUCCAUAUCCCUUACCUACUGUGUCCCUGGCAGUGUAUUGAUUAAUAUAAUUGGUUUAUAGAAUGUAAGUAGUAGCUUUAAUGUUUGUAACCUUGGACCCUUGAGUUAAUUCUUUUCUUGUUAUAGCCUAC